GUGUGUGUGUGUGUGUGUGUGUGUGUGUGUGUGUGUGUGUGUGUGUGUGUGUGUGUGUGUGACUCUCAGCUGCUGGAUCAACAUACUGCAGCAGAUUACUGACAUAGUUCCUGCGGUUCCUGAAGUUACUUUGAGACUUUUUAAGACGCCGCAUAAACAGAAGCAAAAAAAAAAA